UCGAGAAUCUUCCACAAUGGACGAAAGUCUGAUGGAGCGACGCCGCGUGGUGGUUAAGGCCUUCGGGUUGUAAACACCUGUUGAGGGGGAGGAAUUCUGACCGAACCCUUGAGGAAGGACGGGCUAAGUUCGUGCCAGCAGCCGCGGUAAGACGAACCGUCCAAACGUUACUCGGAAUUAUUGGGCUUAAAGAGCACGUAGGCGGCGUUGUAAGUUGGAGGUGAAAUCCCACGGCUCAACCGUGGAACUGCCCCCAAUACUGCAAUGCUCGAGGGAGACAGGGGCAAAUGGAACUAUCGGUGGAGCGGUGAAAUGUGUAGAUAUCGAUGGGAACGCCAGUGGCGAAAGCGAUUUGCUGGUUCUCUUCUGACGCUGAGGUGCGAAAGCUAGGGUAGCGAACGGGAUUAGAUACCCCCGUAGUCC
rnacentral:rRNA from 1 species